GAUGAACGCUGGCGGCGUGCCUAAUACAUGCAAGUCGAGCGAACAGACGAGGAGCUUGCUUCUCUGACGUUAGCGGCGGACGGGUGAGUAACACGUGGAUAACCUACCUAUAAGACUGGGAUAACUUCGGGAAACCGGAGCUAAUACCGGAUAAUAUAUUGAACCGCAUGGUUCAAUAGUGAAAGACGGUUUUGCUGUCACUUAUAGAUGGAUCCGCGCCGCAUUAGCUAGUUGGUAAGGUAACGGCUUACCAAGGCAACGAUGCGUAGCCGACCUGAGAGGGUGAUCGGCCACACUGGGACUGAGACACGGUCCAGACUCCUACGGGAGGCAGCAGUAGGGAAUCUUCCGCAAUGGGCGAAAGCCUGACGGAGCAACGCCGUGUGAGUGAUGAAGGUCUUCGGAUCGUAAAACUCUGUUAUUAGGGAAGAACAAAUGUGUAAGUAACUAUGCACGUCUUGACGGUACCUAAUCAGAAAGCCACGGCUAACUACGUG
rnacentral:rRNA from 1 species